AUUGAACGCUGGCGGCAGGCCUAACACAUGCAAGUCGAACGGUAACAGGAAGCAGCUUGCUGCUUCGCUGACGAGUGGCGGACGGGUGAGUAAUGUCUGGGAAACUGCCUGAUGGAGGGGGAUAACUACUGGAAACGGUAGCUAAUACCGCAUAACGUCGCAAGACCAAAGAGGGGGACCUUCGGGCCUCUUGCCAUCGGAUGUGACAAGAUGGGAUGAGCUAGGAGGUUGGGUAACGGCUCAACUAGGCGACGCUCCCUAGCUGGUCUGAGAGGAUGACCCGCCACUCUGGAACUGAGCCACGGUCCAGACGCCUACGCGAGGCAGCAGUGGGGAAUAGUGCACAAUGGGCGCAAGCCUGAGGCAGCCAUGCCGCGUGUAUGAAGAAGGCCUUCGGGUUGUAAAGUACUUUCAGCGGGGAGGAAGGCGAUAAGGUUAAUAACCUUGUUGAUUGACGUUACCCGCAGAAGAAGCACCGGCUAACUCCGUGCCAGCCGCCGCGGUAA
rnacentral:rRNA from 1 species